UGCCAGCCGCCGCGGUAAUACGGAGGGUGCGAGCGUUAAUCGGAAUUACUGGGCGUAAAGCGUACGUAGGUGGUUUGGUAAGUCGGAUGUGAAAUCCCCGGGCUCAACCUGGGAAUUGCAUUCGAAACUGCCUCACUAGAGUCUAGCAGAGGGAUGGGGAAUUCCGGGUGUAGCGGUGAAAUGCGUACAGAUCCGGAGGAACAUCAGUGGCGAAGGCGCCAUCCUGGGCUAAGACUGACGCUGAGGUACGAAAGCUAGGGUAUCAAACGGGAUUAGAUA
rnacentral:rRNA from 1 species